UACGGGGGGGGCAAGCGUUGUUCGGAAUUACUGGGCGUAAAGGGCUCGUAGGUGGCCAACUAAGUCAGACGUGAAAUCCCUCGGCUUAACCGGGGAACUGCGUCUGAUACUGGAUGGCUUGAGGUUGGGAGAGGGAUGCGGAAUUCCAGGUGUAGCGGUGAAAUGCGUAGAUAUCUGGAGGAACACCGGUGGCGAAGGCGGCAUCCUGGACCGACACUGACGCUGAGGAGCGAAAGCCAGGGGAGCAAACGGG
rnacentral:rRNA from 1 species